rnacentral:SRP_RNA from 1 species
GCUGUGCGUGGUGGCACGUGCCUGUAGUCCCAGCUACUCGGGAGGCUGAGGUGGGAGGAUCGCCUGAGCCCAGGACUUCUGGGCUGUAGUGCGCUAUGCCGAUCAGAUGUCCGCACUAAGUUCGGCAUCAAUAUGGUGACCUCCCGGGAGCGGGGGACCACCAGGUUGCCUAAGGAGGGGUGAAUUGGCCCAGGUUGGAAACGGAGCAGGUCAAAACUCCCGUGCUGAUCAGUAGUGGGAUUGCGCCUGUGAAUAGCCACUGCACUCCAGCCUGGGCAACACAGCGAGACCCCGUCUCU